rnacentral:rRNA from 1 species
GCAAGUCGAGCGGUAACAGGAAGUAGCUUGCUACUUCGCUGACGAGCGGCGGACGGGUGAGUAAUGCCUAGGAAAUUGCCCUGAUGUGGGGGAUAACCAUUGGAAACGAUGGCUAAUACCGCAUAAUGCCUUCGGGCCAAAGAGGGGGACCUUCGGGCCUCACGCCAUAAGAGUAGCCCAAGUGGGAUUAGCUAGUUGGUGAGGUAAUGGCUCACCAAGGCGACGAUCCCUAGCUGGUCUGAGAGGAUGAUC